rnacentral:rRNA from 1 species
CCCGGGCCUUGUACACACCGCCCGUCACACCACGAAAGUCGGCAACACCCGAAGUCCGUGGGCUAACCCGCAAGGGAGGCAGCGGCCGAAGGUGGGGUUGAUGAUUGGGGUG